rnacentral:rRNA from 1 species
AUUGAACGCUGGCGGCAGGCCUAACACAUGCAAGUCGAACGAGUGGCGGACGGGUGAGUAAUGUCUGGGAAACUGCAUGAUGGAGGGGGAUAACGAAUGGAAACGGUAGCUACAACAGCAUAACAUCAGAUGUGGCCAUAUGGGAUGAGCUUGUUGGUGGGGUAACGGCUCACCAAGGAGACGAUCCCUAGCUGGCCUGAGAGGAUGACCAGCCACACUGGAACUGAGACACUGUCCAGACUCCUACGGGAGGCAUCAGUGGGGAAUAUUGCACAAUGGGCGCAAGCCUUAUGCAGCCAUGCCGCUUGUAUGAAUCAGGCCUUCGGGUUGUAAAGUACUUUCAGCGGGGAGGCGUUACCCGCAGAAGAAGCACCGGCUAACUCCGUGCCAGCAGCCGCGGUAAUAC